rnacentral:rRNA from 2 species
GGCUCAGAACGAACGCUGGCGGCAGGCUUAACACAUGCAAGUCGAGCGCCCCGCAAGGGGAGCGGCAGACGGGUGAGUAACGCGUGGGAAUCUACCCUUGACUACGGAAUAACGCAGGGAAACUUGUGCUAAUACCGUAUGUGUCCUUCGGGAGAAAGAUUUAUCGGUCAAGGAUGAGCCCGCGUUGGAUUAGCUAGUUGGUGGGGUAAAGGCCUACCAAGGCGACGAUCCAUAGCUGGUCUGAGAGGAUGAUCAGCCACAUUGGGACUGAGACACGGCCCAAACUCCUACGGGAGGCAGCAGUGGGGAAUAUUGGACAAUGGGCGCAAGCCUGAUCCAGCCAUGCCGCGUGAGUGAUGAAGGCCCUAGGGUUGUAAAGCUCUUUCACCGGAGAAGAUA